UGACAAUGUGCCCAUCCCCAAAUGAUGACUCCUGGUCAGACUGAGCCCAUCGUGCAAUCUCAUUCCUCUUUUCCAGGGUAGUUAUGUGACCUGCCUGGCCAAUGAGAUCUGUGAUGAACUCCACAAGUUCUUCUCUGAUAAAAGAGGGAGCAGCAGGAGGAGAAAGUGUCUUCCUCUUUAUCCCCUUCUUUUGUGAUUGGGAACAUGUUCUGUUGAGGACACAAUUCUUGGAAUUCUGGCAGCCAACUUACCACCAUUAGGGGAGACAUCACUGACCCACUUGACAGAGACUGCAGAAAGGUCAAGAGAGUCUAGGCCUUUGCUCCUCCUGAUAAUACACCACGCUCGAACCACCUUCCUCCGGGCUUUUUGUUACAUGAAAUGAUUAAGUGUCUUUAUUGCAUAAGCCCCCGUAAUGUGGCUAUUCUUUAUUUGUAGUUGAAAUCAUUCCUGACACAGAUCGAUGGCUUUGAAAUUUACCUCCAAAUACCUCCCAAUUUCUGAUUAACAAAUAUCAGAAAUUUCUUAUCACAGCAGCCUGUUAUUUAACAUAGUAUUCUCAGGGCCUGGAAUGUUUUCACAGCUGGCUUUUAUUGACUGUUGUGGCUGACGUACUGAAGAAUGGGACUCUUUGGCGUGAGGAUUCUGCUGCUCCUUUUGUUUAUUAAUCAAUGUGCUAAUCCUUACUUAUUUCUUAUUCAAUCCCCUCACUCCUCAAAGGAACUGGCAGAUGUGAAACAAAGGCCCCUUCACCUGUUUUUUUGGAUUCUUGUCCUGGGAAUAAUUCACCAGUAGGAUAUGGAGAAUAGUCUUCACCCACCCUCUGCAAGGUGUUCAAGUCCUGAUCCCUGAAACCUGUGAAUAUGUUACUUUACACGUGUGAUUAAAUUAUGGACCUUGAAAUGGGGAGAUGAUGCUGGAUUACCUAGGUGGGCCCAGGAUAACUACAAAGGUCUUUAAAAGUGGAAAGGAGAGCAGAGAUGCGUGGAGAAGGACCAUGUGCCUAUGGAGGAACUGUCAGAGAUUGAAUAUUGUUGGCUUUGAAAAGGGAGGACUCGAAGAGGAGCUGAGGAGCACAGGAAGCCUCUGGACACUGAAGAAGGUGAGGAGACAGGUUUUCUCCCCAGGCUUUCAGAAAGGAACACAGCUCUGCCCAGACCUUGACUUUGGCCUGGUGACACCCAUUUCAGCCUUCUAACCUCCAGAACUAUAAGAUACUAAAUUUGUGUUGUUUAAGCUGCUAACUUUGUAGAAUAGGAAACCAAAACAGUGAGCUCACACCUCUCACCCCCCAUCCCCCACUUUGUUCUGCCCUUGUUUGUGGGUGCGCCCAGCAUCUCUCACAGCCUUGGGAGCCCUGAGUGGGGUCAGUGAGAAGCUCAGUCCAGGUUGCGGUAUGGACAGUGUGCUCCGAUUCCAGCCCACUGGAAAGAUGUCAGCCUUGUCUUUUUAUCAGCAGCGGCAAAUAAUGGAUCAUUUCGCUCAGCAAAUAGAAAUCAAGUACCAACUCACUGCAUGGUGAAAAUACGGGGGAUACAGUGUUACCCAAAAUAGAUAUCCCCAUCUUGUCCCCCUGGAAAAGACAGAAAUUGAACCAAAAGAUAACAAACAAACAUAUAGCAACACUUGGGAUAAGGGUGAUGAAGGAGAAUAGGAUACUGACAGAGAAUAAGAGGGUCUAAUUUAGACUGGAGGUCCAAGGGAAGUAUUUCUUAAGAAAUGAGAUAUAAAUUGAGACCUGGAAGAGAAGUAGGAAUUUAUCAAGGAGGAGCUCAGAGAAGAGAGCUCU
rnacentral:lncRNA from 1 species